AUGUCAACAUCAAAUUAAGCAUGGCUGCUCUAUUUGUCGAAGAUAAAGCCUUCCACUGCCAAUUCGAUAUCCUUCUAAUCAUUCUUUUUUGAAGAAAAGACAAGUCCCGGACCUCAAAGGACCUUAUGAUAGAGGAACUCCAAGGUAAUUCCAAAUCAUGUUGUUUUUAUUCAUUGAAAUAAAUUUUCAAAUCUGACCUUUGAUUGCCCUUAGGGUGAUCAGGCUUAUCAUCAUUUGUGAUUUUACUAGGUUGAUUGCUUAGCCUGAGAUGGAACAGUAAACAUUGGUAAUUGCCUUCAAAUAGGCCACAUCUCUGACUAUAAACUUUACAAUAAAUAGAUAAUUACACGCAAAGAGGAUAUGCAAUAU
rnacentral:lncRNA from 1 species